ACAACCAAUUUUAAUUUUUCUUCAGAAACCAAUUUUGACCAGAACAUUUGUAUCGUCCAUGCUUUACAAACGUUUAAACUGAUCCAUUGUCCGAUUCCCUUAUUCACUUCUGCCGUUUUCUUGCAUUUGUACUUACUUAUUCCCGGCUUCGUAAUUGGUGAGAAUGGUGGCGCUAAUUUCGAGUCAAGGAGAGGUCUAAUUCAACGUUACCUAACACGUUUCCACAAGCCCAUUUUUUAAUACGAUCCUUCAUUCAGUCGUGGUAUUUCUUCUCAGUGGUUACAAGCUUUCUGAAGCCUUUUAACCGUUUGUGUUAUAAACCAUUGCCUUCGAGCCAGGCUCGUCUUUCCUUGUCCCAGUCCCCUCUCUCUUUUUUCUUUUUCUUUUUUUUUUUCCUUUUUAAUCCAACACCUUGACAAACACCUUCGUACCCUUUCUCUUAUCGAUCAUGUCGAUAAAUAUUUCUUUCUAUUAAUUCAUUUAUUUUUUUUGUCUGUUAAAUCAAGCAUACACUUAUCAAAUUCUUAAAAAAUUAACAUUGUCGUAAUUAUCUUUUAAAUUUUCAAUUCCAAUCGCAAAACGAAAAUUUCCUUUAUUUUCCAAACUGUUAAAAAUGAAACAAUUUUAUUUGAAAAUUCACAAGUAUCUCGAUAAACGACAUCAACAUCACUCCGUAUUCGAAUAAAUUAAGAAUCAAAAAUCAAGAAUCAAAUUUGUCAAUUGACCGACAAUAAUCUGUGUUAUGAUAUCUUAGGUUAGAAAUUAUAUUUGUAUCGUUAAAAUUCUUAAUACGUCACUGAAGACAGCGCGUAGCAUUGGAACAGGCUAACAUCCACCUGCAGACACGAUAAUUGGCGGUUAGUCGUAUGCACGGCUUCACCCCGGUUUGUUGGUGGACAUUUGUCACGGGUCGACGAGUGUACGAUGAGCCAUUCGCGAAUUUUACGAUCGCGUUGACGCGCGUCUGUGCAUAGACACGGGUCGGAGCUCGCCGUUAAUUUCAGCGAUUGCGAGCUCCAAGGAUAAUAGUGGGAUUCUUGUAAUGGUGAAUUUCUGUGAGGCUGACUAAGAAGAUGUGAUAUGUUGACAGUGUGAUAUGGGUUUCGGUACCCUUGUUAUACAUUCAGUGAUUCUACUCGUCGCAACCAACAUCUUUCUGCGAUCUAUCGGCGUUUGUACCUUUUGCCUACCAUACUCUCUGGUUUUUUCAAUUUUUAUUUCAAGCAUAUUACACUUGGCUCGAAACAAGAUGCUGUUUUCACGAAAAACUUUUACGUGAUGUCUUACCAAACAGCAGGGAAGGUUGAAAUGAGCUGCAGAAGAUGACGAUGUGGAUCGAGAGAUUGUUGUUGUUGUUGGUGAUACUUCCGGGCAAACAGGAUCAUCGUAGUCAGUUCCCUCGACGCAAGAAGCGGUGACAGUAAAUUAAUGCUGCACGCUGCUUUUUGUUUUUGUUUCUCUUUUUUUCUUUUUUUUUUUCAAUCUUUUCUUUUUGUUGUUGUUGAGUAUACAAUAACUCGUGAAAGUGUUCGAACAGUUUAUACAUAGGAAACUUUUACAAAUAUAAAUCAUGUCAAAAUAAUCAAAAUAAAAUUUCAUCUA